rnacentral:lncRNA from 10 species
GUGUGAACCCGGGAGGUGGAGCUUGCAGUAAGCCGAGAUCGUGCCACUGCACUCCAGCCUGGAUGACAGAGCGAGACUCCAUCUCAAAAAAAAAAAAAAAAAAAAAAAAAAAAAAAAAAAAAAAAAAAAGAUCCACCCUCUUACUUUUUAAGUAUGUAAUAUAGGAUUAUUAGUUAUAGGCACUAUACUCUACCAUGGACCUCUAGAACUUAAUCAUCUUGCAUAACUGAAACUUUGUACCCUUAAAGAAAUCUGAAUCUUAAUCAAGGAAACAC